rnacentral:rRNA from 1 species
CCUACGGGUGGCUGCAGUGGGGAAUAUUGGACAAUGGGCGAAAGCCUGAUCCAGCCAUGCCGCGUGUGUGAAGAAGGCCUUCGGGUUGUAAAGCACUUUCAGUGGGGAAGAAAGCCUUGGGGCUAAUACCCUCGAGGAAGGACAUCACCCACAGAAGAAGCACCGGCUAACUCCGUGCCAGCAGCCGCGGUAAUACGGAGGGUGCGAGCGUUAAUCGGAAUUACUGGGCGUAAAGCGCGUGUAGGCGGUCUGAUAAGCCGGUUGUGAAAGCCCCGGGCUCAACCUGGGAACGGCAUCCGGAACUGUCAGGCUAGAGUGCAGGAGAGGAAGGUAGAAUUCCCGGUGUAGCGGUGAAAUGCGUAGAGAUCGGGAGGAAUACCAGUGGCGAAGGCGGCCUACUGGACUGACACUGACGCUGAGGUGCGAAAGCGUGGGUAGCAAACAGGAUUAGAUACCCUGGUAGUC